rnacentral:rRNA from 1 species
GACGAACGCUGGCGGCGUGCUUAACACAUGCAAGUCGAACGGAAAGGCCCUGCUUUUGUGGGGUGCUCGAGUGGCGAACGGGUGAGUAACACGUGAGUAACCUGCCCUUGACUUUGGGAUAACUUCAGGAAACUGGGGCUAAUACCGGAUAGGAGCUCCUGCUGCAUGGUGGGGGUUGGAAAGUUUCGGCGGUUGGGGAUGGACUCGCGGCUUAUCAGCUUGUUGGUGGGGUAGUGGCUUACCAAGGCUUUGACGGGUAGCCGGCCUGAGAGGGUGACCGGCCACAUUGGGACUGAGAUACGGCCCAGACUCCUACGGGAGGCAGCAGUGGGGAAGAUUGCACAAUGGGCGGAAGCCUGAUGCAGCAACGCCGCGUGCGGGAUGACGGCCUGCGGGUUGUAAACCGCUGUCGCCUGUGACGAAGCGUGAGUGACGGUAAUGGGUAAAGAAGCACCGGCUAACUACGUG